rnacentral:rRNA from 1 species
CCCGGUGAUUCAAGCGCUGUCGUACCACUCCUUCCCAUUCCGAACAGGAUAGUGAAAGGCAGCAGCGGGGACGAUACUCAUCUCGCAAGGGAUUGGGACAAUACCUCAUCGCCGGGA